CAUUAAAAAAGAAAAAAAAAAAAAAAAAAGAUUUAAACUCACAAAAUAAGAAUUCUGGAACUGCCACAUAAUUAUUACAAGUAGGAUACAAAUGCAUGGAACACAGAGUUGGCCUUCAGGUUUUGCAUUUUGCUAUCUCUCAAAUCAAGUAAAUUGAAUAAACCAACUUGUAAUAGUUUUAAUUGGGCAGUUAAAUCACCAUAAACUAUACUCAUCAAAAUU
rnacentral:misc_RNA from 1 species